UACGAAGGGUGCAAGCGUUACUCGGAAUUACUGGGCGUAAAGGGUGCGUAGGUGGUUUGUUAAGUCUGCUGUGAAAUCCCCGGGCUCAACCUGGGAAUGGCAGUGGAUACUGGCAAGCUAGAGUGCGGUAGAGGGUAGUGGAAUUCCCGGUGUAGCAGUGAAAUGCGUAGAGAUCGGGAGGAACACCAGUGGCGAAGGCGGCUACCUGGACCAGCACUGACACUGAAGCACGAAAGCGUGGGGAGCGAUCCGG
rnacentral:rRNA from 1 species